rnacentral:rRNA from 1 species
GAUGAACGCUGGCGGCGUGCCUAAUACAUGCAAGUCGAGCGAACGGACGAGAAGCUUGCUUCUCUGAUGUUAGCGGCGGACGGGUGAGUAACACGUGGAUAACCUACCUAUAAGACUGGGAUAACUUCGGGAAACCGGAGCUAAUACCGGAUAAUAUUUUGAACCGCAUGGUUCAAAAGUGAAAGACGGUCUUGCUGUCACUUAUAGAUGGAUCCGCGCUGCAUUAGCUAGUUGGUAAGGUAACGGCUUACCAAGGCAACGAUGCAUAGCCGACCUGAGAGGGGGAUCGGCCAACUGGGAACUGAGACACGGUCCAGCCCCCUACGGGAGGCAGCAGUAGGGAAUCUUCCGCAAUGGGCGAAAGCCUGACGGAGCAACGCCGGGUGAGUGAGGAAGGUCUUCGGAUCGUAAAACUUUGUUAUUAGGGAAGAACAUAUGUGUAAGUAACUGUGCACAUCUGGACGGUACCUAAUCAAAAAGCCACGGCUAACUACGU